rnacentral:rRNA from 1 species
UACGUAGGGGGCAAGCGUUGUCCGGAAUCAUUGGGCGUAAAGAGCGUGUAGGCGGCCAGAAAAGUCCGCUGUGAAAACUCGAGGCUCAACCUCGAGACGCCGAUGGAAACCGUAUGGCUAGAGUCCGGAAGAGGAGAGCGGAAUUCCUGGUGUAGCGGUGAAAUGCGCAGAUAUCAGGAAGAACACCCGUGGCGAAGGCGGCUCUCUGGGCCGGAACUGACGCUGAGGAGCGAAAGCGUGGGUAGCGAACAGG